rnacentral:misc_RNA from 1 species
CCGAAUCGUCGACACGAGUUGUUGCUGGCCCUCAAACGGGGGCAUGUGCACGCUCUGUUUGCAUCCACCCACACCUGUGCACCCUUUGUAGUUCUGCGGUCCGGGGGACCCCCUCUUCCGUCCGCGGUUCUGCGUCUUUACACACACACUGUAACAUGGUCUUAUGGAAUGUACGCAGCGUUUAACGCAAUACAAUA